AGAGUUUGAUCCUGGCUCAGGAUGAACGCUAGCAAAAGGCUUAACACAUGCAAGUCGAGGGGCAGCACGAGGUAGCAAUACUUUGGUGGCGACCGGCAGACGGGUGAGUAACGCGUAUGCAACCUACCCUGUACUGGGGGAUAACCCGGAGAAAUUCGGACUAAUACCCCAUAGUGAUAUCGAGAGGCAUCUUAAGAUAUUUAAAGUUCCGGCGGUACGGGAUGGGCAUGCGUAACAUUAGCUAGUUGGUAAGAUAACGGCUUACCAAGGCUUUGAUGUUUAGGGGUCCUGAGAGGGUGAUCCCCCACACUGGUACUGAGACACGGACCAGACUCCUACGGGAGGCAGCAGUGAGGAAUAUUGGUCAAUGGGCGCAAGCCUGAACCAGCCAUCCCGCGUGCAGGAAGACGGCCCUAUGGGUUGUAAACUGCUUUUCCAGGAAGAGAAACUUGCGUACGAGUUACGUAAUUGACGGUAUCCUGGGAAUAAGCAUCGGCUAACUCCGUGCCAGCAGCCGCGGUAAUACGGAGGAUGCGAGCGUUAUCCGGAUUCAUUGGGUUUAAAGGGUGCGUAAGCGGACUAUUAAGUCAGUGGUAAAAUCCUGCAGCUUAACUGCAGAACUGCCGUUGAUACUGAUAGUCUUGAGUUUGGUUAAGGUAGGCGGAAUGUGUAAUGUAACAGUGAAAUGCUUAGAUAUUACACAGAACACCAAUUGCGUAGGCAGCUUACUGAGCCGACACUGACGCUGAGGCACGAAAGCGUGGGGAUCGAACAGGAUUAGAUACCCUGGUAGUCCACGCCGUAAACGAUGAUUACUCGCUGUUGGCGAUACACUGUCAGCGGCUAAGCAAAAGCAAUAAGUAAUCCACCUGGGGAGUACGACCGCAAGGCUGAAACUCAAAGGAAUUGACGGGGGCCCGCACAAGCGGAGGAACAUGUGGUUUAAUUCGAUGAUACGCGAGGAACCUUACCUGGGCUCGAACGAUUAACGACGCCCGCUAGAAAUAGUGGGGCUUCCUUCGGGAACGGCAAUCGAGGUGCUGCAUGGCUGUCGUCAGCUCGUGUCGUGAGAUGUUGGGUUAAGUCCCGCAACGAGCGCAACCCUUAUCAUUAGUUGCUACGCAAGGGCACUCUAAUGAGACUGCCGGUGACAAACCGGAGGAAGGUGGGGAUGACGUCAAGUCCUCAUGGCCCUUAUGGGUAGGGCUUCACACGUCAUACAAUGGUCGGUACAGAGGGUUGCCAAGCCGCGAGGUGGAGCCAAUCCCAGAAAGCCGAUCGUAGUCCGGAUUGUUCUCUGCAACUCGAGAGCAUGAAGUCGGAAUCGCUAGUAAUCGCGGAUCAGAAUGCCGUGGUGAAUACGUUCCCGGGUCUUGUACACACCGCCCGUCACACCAUGGGAGUGGAAUCUGCCAGAAGUAGGUAGCCUAACCGCAAGGGGGGCGCUUACCACGGUGGGUUUCAUGACUGGGGUGAAGUCGUAACAAGGUAACC
rnacentral:rRNA from 1 species